rnacentral:rRNA from 1 species
UACGAAGGGGGGCUAGCGUUGUUCGGAAUUACUGGGCGUAAAGCGUGCGCAGGCGGUUCGCCAAGUCAGGUGUGAAAUCCCCGGGCUUAACCUGGGAAUUGCGCUUGAAACUAGCGGGCUUGAGUGUGGGCAGAGGGGGGGUGGGAAGUUCCAACGUGUAGCAGUGAAAUGCGUAGAGAUGUGGAGGAACACCGAUGGCGAAGGCAGCCCCCUGGGUCAACACUGACGCUCAUGCACGAAAGCGUGGGGAGCAAACAGG